UACGUAGGGUGCAAGCGUUAAUCGGAAUUACUGGGCGUAAAGCGUGCGCAGGCGGUUUCGUAAGUCUGUCGUGAAAUCCCCGGGCUUAACCUGGGAAUGGCGAUGGAGACUGCGAGGCUAGAGUUUGGCAGAGGGGGGGUAGAAUUCCACGUGUAGCAGUGAAAUGCGUAGAGAUGAUGGAGGAACACCAAUGGCGAAGGCAGCCCCCUGGGUCAAAACUGACGCUCAUGCACGAAAGCGUGGGGAGCAAACA
rnacentral:rRNA from 1 species